UCUGCGUUUUGCGCAGCGGUCCCAGUAGAAACAUGCAACUACUGGCGAGGGUUGCGCUCGUUGCGGGACUUAACCCAACACCUCACGGCACGAGCUGACGACAGCCAUGCAGCACCUGUGCACGGGUCCCGAAGGAGGGACCGAUCUCUCGGCCUUGCCCUUGCAUGUCAAACCCCGGUAAGGUUCUGCGCGUUGCAUCGAAUUAAACCACAUGCUCCGCUGCUUGUGCGGGUCCCCGUCAAUUCCUUUGAGUUUUAGCCUUGCGGCCGUACUCCCCAGGCGGGGCGCUUAAUGCGUUAGCUUCGGCACGGAAGGAGUCAACACCUCCCACACCUAGCGCCCAUCGUUUACGGCGUGGACUAC
rnacentral:misc_RNA from 1 species